rnacentral:rRNA from 1 species
UACGGAGGGUGCGAGCGUUGUCCGGAAUCACUGGGCGUAAAGGGCGCGUAGGCGGCGCGGGUAGUCAACGGUGAAAGCUUGGGGCUCAACCCCGAGUCGGCCGUCGAUACUCCCGUGCUUGAGCACUGUAGAGGCAGGUGGAAUUCCGGGUGUAGCGGUGGAAUGCGUAGAGAUCCGGAAGAACAUCGGUGGCGAAGGCGGCCUGCUGGGCAGUAGCUGACGCUGAGGCGCGACAGCGUGGGGAGCAAACAGG